GCUGUGAAGAGGGAACUUGGAAACGUCUAGUAAUGCGACGCCAAAGCAGACUGAUAGACACCAGAACAAAUAUAGUCCUACCUGAUUUAAAGGUGUUUACUCACUAACCAUCUUUUUCUGCAGUUGUGGGGAAUUUCUCUGGAUUUUUUUUAAUCAAUUGCUCUUUUGGCUCUUUUUGGUUGUGCCAACUGAAAAUUGAAAAGUGGAGAUGAAUUCUACCGCUUUCAAUCAAACGGACAGUGCAGGACUUUUCAAUAAGACUGAAGAUAUAUUUUGCUGUAACUUUUCAUCAGUGGUGACUGAUAAUGGCUUCGUGGCGGCGACUCCGGAUGAGAGAAGUCUCUUUCUCAUGAGAGUUGUCCAGAUAGCAGUUAUGUGCGUGUUAUCGCUCACGGUGGUUUUCGGUAUAUUCUUUUUGGGCUGCAAUCUUCUCAUCAAGUCGGAGGGAAUGAUCAACUUUUUGGUGACGGACAGAAGACCAUCCAAAGAGUGAAAGCAUCUGUUGUUCUGCUCCUGGCUCACCUCAUCUGGGCAUCAGCACCACCCCCAGCUCCCCAGGGGGAACCAAACAGCACCUCCACAAAAUGAUUUGUCUUGUCAACCCAGACCAAGGAGGACGAAGCCACAGCACAAUCUGCUGCAUUCUGAUAGGCCACCUGUGUCCCUGUGCUCUAUGGACAGAGUUAAAACUAAAAAGCGACUACAGUCGUUUUACUUCCUCCAAAAUCAUGCUUCCUGCCUGCCUGGUGGUUGAGGACAAAUCAAUCUGGCGACCCAUCAGAGUUAACUGAAUUGCAUUUGACAUGGCCCAUUAUGAUGUGUUAUGAUUGAUGGACGGCAGCAUAGCCUACGGGAUGCGUCUCCGGCCAAAGUCCCCAGCCACUAACUCACAUAUUAAUUACAAAUAGGACAUUUUGUUUGUUAAAUGGUCUUUAAAACUAAUAAUAUGUCAUUAGGCAUUUUAUGGACAGCCAUUACAGAGAAAUUCAUGAUAUUGCCAUUUUCCCUAGAUAAAAUCCUCUAAGCACAAAAAUGUUAACAGUAUCUCAUACAUAAGUGUCAAUUUGGUUGAACGUGAGUAUACAUUCAACACUAUACUCUGAGUAACUCAAUGAAGUUGAGUUAACCCAAUGAAGUGUUACCCAUUAGUUGAAAUGGUCAGCCAGUAGUCAUAUAGAGAUGGAUGAUUAGAUUACCCUGAAUACAUUUGUGGUAGACUACGAGUUGUGAAAACUGACCUAACCUAAACAAUGUUUAGCAUCAUCCAGUUAUUAAAGCGGAUUUAAGAUUGUAUCAUUUUUGUUACUUUCAUCAAAGCAUCUUCUCUCUUCCUGUAUUUAAUUGUAUUGUAUUCUAAACAUUUAUUGCAUUAUUAAACAUUUAUUUCAUUUAUUUGAAUGAUUGCAA